rnacentral:rRNA from 1 species
UCUAGUUAGCAUUAUACCGUGAAACUGCGAAUGGCUCAUUAAAUCAGUUAUCGUUUAUUUGAUAAUACCUUACUACUUGGAUAACCGUGGUAAUUCUAGAGCUAAUACAUGCUGAAAAUCCCGACUUCGGAAGGGAUGUGUUUAUUAGAUAAAAAACCAAUGCCCUUCGGGGCUUUUUGGUGAUUCAUGAUAACUUUACGGAUCGCAUAGCCUUGCGCUGGCGACGGUUCAUUCAAAUUUCUGCCCUAUCAACUUUCGAUGGUAAGGUAUUGGCUUACCAUGGUUUCAACGGGUAACGGGGAAUUAGGGUUCGAUUCCGGAGAGGGAGCCUGAGAAACGGCUACCACAUCCAAGGAAGGCAGCAGGCGCGCAAAUUACCCAAUCCCGACACGGGGAGGUAGUGACAAUAAAUACUGAUACAGGGCUCUUUUGGGUCUUGUAAUUGGAAUGAGUACAAUUUAAACCUCUUAACGAGGAACAAUUGGAGGGCAAGUCUGGUGCCAGCAGCCGCGGUAAUUCCAGCUCCAAUAGCGUAUAUUAAAGUUGUUGCAGUUAAAAAGCUCGUAGUUGAAACUUGGGCCUGGCUGGCGGGUCCGCCUCACCGCGUGCACUCGUCCGGCCGGGCCUUCCUUCUGAAGAACCUCAUGCCCUUCACUGGGCGUGCUGGGGAAUCAGGACUUUUACUUUGAAAAAAUUAGAGUGUUCAAAGCA